rnacentral:misc_RNA from 1 species
AACAUCGCGCACCUGCGGGAACCUGCGGAAGGAUCAUUACCGAGUGUGAACCCCCCCGUAAAAAAGAGGGGUUACCUCCCGUCCUUUGCUGGGAACCCCUUUCCAACUUGGAAGGAGGUUGUUUUCAGACCCUUCUGCUUCGGUGGGGUAACCCACCGGAACAACCUCAAAAAUAUUCUCAAUUCAAAACCGUUCAGUCCGAGAACUUUUUUGAAAAGCGAAAAAACUUUCAGCAAUGGA